rnacentral:rRNA from 1 species
UACGGGGGGGGCAAGCGUUGUUCGGAAUUACUGGGCGUAAAGGGCUCGUAGGCGGCCAACUAAGUCAGACGUGAAAUCCCUCGGCUUAACCGGGGAACUGCGUCUGAUACUGGUUGGCUUGAAUCCGGGAGAGGGAUGUGGAAUUCCAGGUGUAGCGGUGAAAUGCGUAGAUAUUCGCAAGAACACCAGUGGCGAAGGCGGCUCACUGGCCCGGUACUGACGCUGAGGUGCGAAAGCGUGGGGAGCAAACAGG